GGCAAAAUGACUCCGUAACUUCGGAAUAAGGAGUGACUUUAUAAGGGCAACCUUAUAAAGUUGUCACAAAAUCGGGGACAGCAACUGUUUAACAAAAACACAGGUUUCUGCUAAUUCGUAAGAAGAUGUAUUGAAACUGACGCCUGCCCAGUGCUGCAAGAUUAAAGGAAAAAGUCAUUUGGCUUUGACCCUAACUCCCAGUAAACGGCGGCUGUAACUCUGACGGUCCUAAGGUAGCGAAAUUCCUUGGCAUUUGAUUGGUGUCCUGCAUGAAUGGCGUAAUGACUGUCCUACUGUCUCCAACAUAAACUCAGUGAAAUUGAAUUUUUCGUGAAGAUGCGAAAUUCUUGCAGCUAGACGGAAAGACCCCGACACCUUUACUGCAAUUAUACAUUGUAAUAAGAUUUUUUUUGUGUAGCAUAAGUGGGAAGUUAUUUAAUAAUUCUUCGCGCAAGCGAAUAAAUUAAACAUCGUUGAAAUACCACUCUAAAAAUUUUUUAUUACUUAUUGUUUAAGACAGUGUAUAAUGGGUAGUUUGACUGGGGCGGUCGCCUCCUAAAGAGUAACGGAGGCGUACAAAGGUAAACUUAAGUUGAACUUUAACAACUUUAAAGCAUAAUAGUAUAUGUUUGCCUGACUGUAAGAUUGACAAAUCAAGCAGGGACGAAAGUCGGUUAUAGUGAUCCGAUGAUUCUGAGUGGAAAUGGUCAUCGCUCAACGAAUAAAAGGUACGUCGGGGAUAACAGGCUAAUCACCCUCUAGAGACCAUAUCGACGGGGUGGUUUGGCACCUCGAUGUUGGAUUAUCGCAUCCUGGAGCUGAAGACGGUUCCAAGGGUUUGGCUGUUCGCCAAUGAAGGCGGUACAUGAUCUGAGUUCAGAACGUUGUGAAACAGUUUGGUCCCUAUCUACUGUAAGUGCAAAAAAUUGAGAGGGGUAAACCUUAGUACGAGAGGACCGGGAAAAGUAAAUCCAUGGUGAAUCGAUUGUUAUACCAAUAGCAUAGUCGAGUAGCUACAUUUAUAAUAAAUAAUCACUGAAAGCAUCUAAGUGAGAAAUUAGCCUCAAUACAAAUUUUUUUUUAAAAUGUGAUAGACUAUCACAUCGAUAGGCCUAGUGUGUAAGAACUGUAAGGUUUUUAGCUAAUAGGUACUAAAU
rnacentral:rRNA from 1 species